AACGAACGCUGGCGGCAGGCCUAACACAUGCAAGUCGAACGAGAUCUUCGGAUCUAGUGGCGGACGGGUGAGUAACGCGUGGGAACGUGCCCUUUGGUUCGGAAUAGCCUCGGGAAACUGGGAGUAAUACCGGAUACGCCCUUCGGGGGAAAGAUUUAUCGCCAAAGGAUCGGCCCGCGUUGGAUUAGGUAGUUGGUGGGGUAACGGCCUACCAAGCCGACGAUCCAUAGCUGGUUUGAGAGGAUGAUCAGCCACACUGGGACUGAGACACGGCCCAGACUCCUACGGGAGGCAGCAGUGGGGAAUCUUAGACAAUGGGGGCAACCCUGAUCUAGCCAUGCCGCGUGAUCGAUGAAGGCCUUAGGGUUGUAAAGAUCUUUCAGCUGGGAAGAUAAUGACUGUACCAGCAGAAGAAACCCCGGCUACUCCGUGCCAGCAGCCGCAGUAACAC
rnacentral:rRNA from 1 species